UUUGAUGGAGGAACGGGAGUGGGACACCCUUGGGUGUGCUGGUUUCUUAGGUAUCAGUCUGCUAACCCUCUUUCGUUUCGCCACCAUA
rnacentral:antisense_RNA from 16 species